CCAUCCUCCUGGCAGCAGCGGUCGUGGAGGCCCAGUAUGGCUACGCAAAGAGACCCCGGCCGUGCCCCCUAUGUGACGCAGACGCAGGCAGUGCCCCACUCCGUGACGGAGACAGUGCCACGGUACGUCACCACAACCGUCCAGCAGCAGGAGUACGUCACUGUCGACCAGUACUGCAAGCCCUCCGGAGGCUAUGGCUACAUCGGUUGAAAGGUAGAAAAAAUGUGAUUCUUAAUAAAGUUUCUGAUCUUU
rnacentral:lncRNA from 1 species